UACGUAGGGGGCUAGCGUUGUCCGGAUUUAUUGGGCGUAAAGAGCGUGUAGGCGGCCAUGUAGGUCCGGUGUGAAAACUCGAGGCUUAACCUCGAGAUGUCAUCGGAAACCAUUUGGCUAGAGUCCGGAAGAGGAGAGUGGAAUUCCUGGUGUAGCGGUGAAAUGCGCAGAUAUCAGGAAGAACACCAAUGGCGAAAGCAGCUCUCUGGGACGGUACUGACGCUGAGACGCGAAAGCGUGGGGAGCGAACGG
rnacentral:rRNA from 1 species